rnacentral:rRNA from 1 species
UACCAGCUCUCCGAGUGGUAGGGAUGUUUAUUGGGCUUAAAGCGUCCGUAGCCGGCUUAGCAAGUCUCCUGUUAAAUUCAGCGACCUAAUCGUUGAGCCGCGGGAGAUACUACUAGGCUAGGAGGCGGGAGAGGUCAACGGUACUUCCGGGGUAGGGGUGAAAUCCUAUAAUCCCGGGAGGACCACCAGUGGCGAAGGCUGUUGACUAGAACGCGCUCGACGGUGAGGGACGAAAGCUGGGGGAGCGAACCGGAUUAGAUACCCGGGUAGUCCCAGCUGUAAACGAUGCGAGCUAGGUGUUGAGGUGGCUACGUGCCACUUCAGUGCCGCAGGGAAGCCAUUAAGCUCGCCGCCUGGGGAGUACGGCCGCAAGGCUGAAACUUAAAGGAAUUGGCGGGGGAGCACCACAAGGCGUGAAGCUUGCGGUUC